UACGAAGGGGGCUAGCGUUGCUAGGAAUCACUGGGCGUAAAGCGCACGUAGGCGGCUUUUUAAGUCAGGGGUGAAAUCCUGGAGCUCAACUCCAGAACUGCCUUUGAUACUGAGAAGCUUGAGUCCGGGAGAGGUGAGUGGAACUGCGAGUGUAGAGGUGAAAUUCGUAGAUAUUCGCAAGAACACCAGUGGCGAAGGCGGCUCACUGGCCCGGUACUGACGCUGAGAUGCGAAAGCGUGGGGAGCAAACAGG
rnacentral:rRNA from 1 species